rnacentral:rRNA from 1 species
AUACGGAGGGUGCGAGCGUUAAUCGGAAUUACUGGGCGUAAAGCGUACGUAGGCGGUUGGGUAAGUUAGAUGUGAAAGCCCCGGGCUUAACCUGGGAACUGCAUUUAAAACUGGCGAACUAGAGUUGAGUAGAGGGGAGUGGAAUUUCAGGUGUAGCGGUGAAAUGCGUAGAGAUCUGAAGGAACACCAGUGGCGAAGGCGACUCCCUGGACUCGAACUGACGCUGAGGUACAAAAGCGUGGGUAGCAAACGGGAUUAGAAACCCUAGUAGUCC